AUUGAACGCUGGCGGCAUGCCUUACACAUGCAAGUCGAACGGCAGCACGGGAGCAAUCCUGGUGGCGAGUGGCGAACGGGUGAGUAAUAUAUCGGAACGUGCCCAGUCGUGGGGGAUAACGUAGCGAAAGCUACGCUAACACCGCAUACGAUCUAUGGAUGAAAGCGGGGGAUCGCAAGACCUCGCGCGAUUGGAGCGGCCGAUAUCAGAUUAGGUAGUUGGUGGGGUAAAGGCUCACCAAGCCGACGAUCUGUAGCUGGUCUGAGAGGACGACCAGCCACACUGGGACUGAGACACGGCCCAGACUCCUACGGGAGGCAGCAGUGGGGAAUUUUGGACAAUGGGCGCAAGCCUGAUCCAGCAAUGCCGCGUGCAGGAUGAAGGCCUUCGGGUUGUAAACUGCUUUUGUACGGAGCGAAAAGGCUUCCACUAAUACUGGGGGCUCAUGACGGUACCGUAAGAAUAAGCACCGGCUAACUACGUGCCAGCCGCCGCCGUAAAAC
rnacentral:rRNA from 1 species